AUGCACGCUGGCGGCGUGCCUAAUACAUGCAAGUCGAGCGAACAGAUGAGGAGCUUGCUCCUCUGACGUUAGCGGCGGACGGGUGAGUAACACGUGGAUAACCUACCUAUAAGACUGGGAUAACUUCGGGAAACCGGAGCUAAUACCGGAUAAUAUAUUGAACCGCAUGGUUCAAUAGUGAAAGACGGUUUUGCUGUCACUUAUAGAUGGAUCCGCGCUGCAUUAGCUAGUUGGUAAGGUAACGGCUUACCAAGGCAACGAUGCGUAGCCGACCUGAGAGGGUGAUCGGCCACACUGGAACUGAGACACGGUCCAGACUCCUACGGGAGGCAGCAGUAGGGAAUCUUCCGCAAUGGGCGAAAGCCUGACGGAGCAACGCCGCGUGAGUGAUGAAGGUCUUCGGAUCGUAAAACUCUGUUAUUAGGGAAGAACAAAUGUGUAAGUAACUAUGCACGUCUUGACGGUACCUAAUCAGAAAGCCACGGCUAACUACGUG
rnacentral:rRNA from 1 species